CAGCUUUAACAGCACAUAUGCUAAAAUCGGAACAAUACACAGAAGACUGGCAUGGUGGCUGUGCAAGGACCUGCAGCUUAAACUGAGAGAAAAGAGGGAAAUGU
rnacentral:snRNA from 7 species